rnacentral:rRNA from 1 species
UGGGGAAUAUUGCGCAAUGGGCGAAAGCCUGACGCAGCGACGCCGCGUGAGGGACGACGGCCUUCGGGUUGUAAACCUCUUUCAGCAGGGACGAAUCUGACGGUACCUGCAGAAGAAGCACCGGCUAACUACGUGCCAGCAGCCGCGGUAAUACGUAGGGUGCAAGCGUUGUCCGGAUUUAUUGGGCGUAAAGAGCUCGUAGGCGGUUUGUCGCGUCGGAUGUGAAAACUCAGGGCUCAACCCUGAGCUUGCAUUCGAUACGGGCAGACUAGAGGAUGGCAGGGGAGACUGGAAUUCCUGGUGUAGCGGUGGAAUGCGCAGAUAUCAGGAGGAACACCGGUGGCGAAGGCGGGUCUCUGGGCCAUUUCUGACGCUGAGGAGCGAAAGCGUGGGGAGCAAA